GACGAACGCUGGCGGCGUGCUUAACACAUGCAAAUCGAACGGAAAGGCCCUGCUUUUGUGGGGUGCUCGAGUGGCGAACGGGUGAGUAACACGUGAGUAACCUGCCCUUGACUUUGGGAUAACUUCAGGAAACUGGGGCUAAUACCGGAUAGGAGCUCCUGCUGCAUGGUGGGGGUUGGAAAGUUUCGGCGGUUGGGGAUGGACUCGCGGCUUAUCAGCUUGUUGGUGGGGUAGUGGCUUACCAAGGCUUUGACGGGUAGCCGGCCUGAGAGGGUGACCGGCCACAUUGGGACUGAGAUACGGCCCAGACUCCUACGGGAGGCAGCAGUGGGGAAUAUUGCACAAUGGGCGGAAGCCUGAUGCAGCAACGCCGCGUGCGGGAUGACGGCCUUCGGGUUGUAAACCGCUUUCGCCUGUGACGAAGCGUGAGUGACGGUAAUGGGUAAAGAAGCACCGGCUAACUACGU
rnacentral:rRNA from 1 species